rnacentral:rRNA from 1 species
AGCUUGACACUGAACAUUGAGCCUUGAUGUGUAGGAUAGGUGGGAGGCUUUGAAGUGUGGACGCCAGUCUGCAUGGAGCCGACCUUGAAAUACCACCCUUUAAUGUUUGAUGUUCUAACGUUGGCCCGUAAUCCGGGUUGCGGACAGUGUCUGGUGGGUAGUUUGACUGGGGCGGUCUCCUCCUAAAGAGUAACGGAGGAGCACGAAGGUUGGCUAAUCCUGGUCGGACAUCAGGAGGUUAGUGCAAUG